rnacentral:rRNA from 1 species
GACGAACGCUGGCGGCGUGCUUAACACAUGCAAGUCGAACGAAGUGGCGAACGGGUGAGUAACGCGUAAUCAACCUGCCCUUCAGAGGGGGACAACAGUUGGAAACGACUGCUAAUACCGCAUACUGAAGGAGGGGAUUGCGUCUGAUUGGCGAGUUGGAGGGGUAACGGCCCACCAAGGCGAUGCUCAGUAGCCGGUCUGAGAGGAGUGACGGCCACAAUUGGACUGAGAAACGGCCCAGACUUCUACGGGAGGCAGCAGGGGGGAAUCUUCCGCAAUGGACGAAAGGCUGACGGAGCAACGCCGCGUGAGUGAUGACGGCUUUCGGGUUGUAAAGCUCUGUUAAUCGGGACGCGGUACCGGAAUAGAAAGCCACGGCUAACUACGUGCCAGCAGCCGCGGUAAUUC